GACGUAGGGCGCGAGCGUUGUCCGGAUUUAUUGGGCGUAAAGAGCUCGUAGGCGGCUGCUCAAGUCGAAUGUGAAAACUCGAGGCUCAACCUCGAGCCUGCAUUCGAUACUGGGCGGCUAGAGUCUGGUAGGGGGAUCUGGAAUUCCUGGUGUAGCGGUGGAAUGCGCAGAUAUCAGGAGGAACACCGGUGGCGAAGGCGGGAUCCUGGGCCAGUACUGACGCUGAGGAGCGAAAGCGUGGGGAGCAAACAGG
rnacentral:rRNA from 1 species